GAUGAACGCUGGCGGUGUGCCUAAUACAUGCAAGUCGAGCGAACAGACGAGGAGCUUACUCCUCUGACGUUAGCGGCGGACGGGUGAGUAACACGUGGAUAACCUACCUAUAAGACUGGGAUAACUUCGGGAAACCGGAGCUAAUACCGGAUAACAUGUUGAACCGUAUGGUUCAACAGUGAAAGACGGUCUUGCUGUCACUUAUAGAUGGAUCCGCGUCGCAUUAGCUAGUUGGUAAGGUAACGGCUUACCAAGGCAACGAUGCGUAGCCGACCUGAGAGGGUGAUCGGCCACACUGGAACUGAGACACGGUCCAGACUCCUACGGGAGGCAGCAGUAGGGAAUCUUCCGCAAUGGGCGAAAGCCUGACGGAGCAACGCCGCGUGAGUGAAGAAGGUCUUCGGAUCGUAAAACUCUGUUAUUAGGGAAGAACAAAUGUGUAAGUAACUAUGCACGUCUUGACGGUACCUAAUCAGAAAGCCACGGCUAACUACGUG
rnacentral:rRNA from 1 species